rnacentral:sRNA from 13 species
GCUGGGCAUGGUGGCGCAUGCCUGUAAUCCCAGCUACUCAGGAGGUUGAGGCAGGAGAAUCGCUUGAACCCGGGAGACGGAGGUUGCAGUGAGCCAAGAUUGUGCCACUGCACUCCAGCCUGGGCAACAAAGCAAGACUCUGUCUCAA